AUUCUGAUUCAGAAGAAUCAAUAAAUAAGAAAGACUGUCUUUAAGUUGCAGAAAACUUCAAUCAGUGUGCUGCUGUGACCCACUGAGCAACCAAAGGGCACUGGCCAAUUCAGCCCCAUUUCAUUGUCAUUACUGGUAUUAUGGUGACUCUGGGCAACACCCAAGGAAGUCUUGAAGUUACUAUGCAGCAUUUAAGGAUAACUCCAUCCCAUAUCUUCAGCUACUCUUCCAAAACUGCUACAUCAGCAGCUCUAGUAAAAACUUGCCAUGAAUAACGCCUUAUUAAUCUUAAGAGAAAACGCACUUCAGCUUGCUUAAACUUCCUAAUCCUAUGCCUUUCCAGGAUCUAGAGCUCUAUGCCUAAAGGAACUACAAUUCAUAGACCUAUCUGGAUCAGAGAAG